CCGGCGCACGGGUGAGUAACACGUAUCCAACCUGCCGUCUACUCUUGGCCAGCCCUCUGAAAGGAAGAUUAAUCCAGGAUGGGAUCAUGAGUUCACAUGUCCGCAUGAUUAAAGGUAUUUUCCGGUAGACGAUGGGGAUGCGUUCCAUUAGAUAGUAGGCGGGGUAACGGCCCACCUAGUCAACGAUGGAUAGGGGUUCUGAGAGGAAGGUCCCCCACAUUGGAACUGAGACACGGUCCAA
rnacentral:rRNA from 1 species